rnacentral:rRNA from 1 species
CUACGUGCCAGCAGCCGCGGUAAUACGGAGGGUGCGAGCGUUAAUCGGAAUAACUGGGCGUAAAGGGCACGCAGGCGGUGACUUAAGUGAGGUGUGAAAGCCCCGGGCUUAACCUGGGAAUUGCAUUUCAUACUGGGUCGCUAGAGUACUUUAGGGAGGGGUAGAAUUCCACGUGUAGCGGUGAAAUGCGUAGAGAUGUGGAGGAAUACCGAAGGCGAAGGCAGCCCCUUGGGAAUGUACUGACGCUGAGGAGCGAAAGCGUGGGGAGCGAACAGGAUUAGAUACCCUGGUAGUCCACGCCGUAAACGUUGGGCACUAGGUGUGAGGCUCCUUUCCGGGGGUUUUGCGCCGUAGCUAACGCAUUAAGUGCCCCGCCUGGGGAGUACGGCCGCAAGGCUAAAACUCAAAGGAAUUGACGGGGGCCCGCACAAGCGGCGGAGCAUGCGGAUUAAUUCGAUGCAACGCGAAGAACCUUACCAAGGCUUGACAUGUUAACCGUGGCUCUAGAGAUAGG